CGGCAGGCCUAACACAUGCAGUCGAGCGGUAGCACAGAGAGCUUGCUCUCGGGUGACGAGCGGCGGACGGGUGAGUAAUGUCUGGGAAACUGCCUGAUGGAGGGGGAUAACUACUGGAAACGGUAGCUAAUACCGCAUAACGUCGCAAGACCAAAGUGGGGGACCUUCGGGCCUCAUGCCAUCAGAUGUGCCCAGAUGGGAUUAGCUAGUAGGUGGGGUAACGGCUCACCUAGGCGACGAUCCCUAGCUGGUCUGAGAGGAUGACCAGCCACACUGGAACUGAGACACGGUCCAGACUCCUACGGGAGGCAGCAGUGGGGAAUAUUGCACAAUGGGCGCAAGCCUGAUGCAGCCAUGCCGCGUGUAUGAAGAAGGCCUUCGGGUUGUAAAGUACUUUCAGCGGGGAGGAAGGCGAUAAGGUUAAUAACCUUGUCGAUUGACGUUACCCGCAGAAGAAGCACCGGCUAACUCCGUGCCAGCAGCCGCGGUAAUACGGAGGGUGCAAGCGUUAAUCGGAAUUACUGGGCGUAAAGCGCACGCAGGCGGUCUGUCAAGUCGGAUGUGAAAUCCCCGGGCUCAACCUGGGAACUGCAUUCGAAACUGGCAGGCUAGAGUCUUGUAGAGGGGGGUAGAAUUCCAGGUGUAGCGGUGAAAUGCGUAGAGAUCUGGAGGAAUACCGGUGGCGAAGGCGGCCCCCUGGACAAAGACUGACGCUCAGGUGCGAAAGCGUGGGGAGCAAACAGGAUUAGAUACCUGGUAGUCCACGCCGUAAACGAUGUCGAUUUGGAGGUUGUGCCCUUGAGGCGUGGCUUCCGGAGCUAACGCGUUAAAUCGACCGCCUGGGGAGUACGGCCGCAAGGUUAAAACUCAAAUGAAUUGACGGGGGCCCGCACAAGCGGUGGAGCAUGUGGUUUAAUUCGAUGCAACGCGAAGAACCUUACCUGGUCUUGACAUCCACAGAACUUAGCAGAGAUGCUUUGGUGCCUUCGGGAACUGUGAGACAGGUGCUGCAUGGCUGUCGUCAGCUCGUGUUGUGAAAUGUUGGGUUAAGUCCCGCAACGAGCGCAACCCUUAUCCUUUGUUGCCAGCGGUUCGGCCGGGAACUCAAAGGAGACUGCCAGUGAUAAACUGGAGGAAGGUGGGGAUGACGUCAAGUCAUCAUGGCCCUUACGACCAGGGCUACACACGUGCUACAAUGGCAUAUACAAAGAGAAGCGACCUCGCGAGAGCAAGCGGACCUCAUAAAGUAUGUCGUAGUCCGGAUUGGAGUCUGCAACUCGACUCCAUGAAGUCGGAAUCGCUAGUAAUCGUAGAUCAGAAUGCUACGGUGAAUACGUUCCCGGGCCUUGUACACACCGCCCGUCACACCAUGGGAGUGGGUUGCAAAAGAAGUAGGUAGCUUAACCUUCGGGAGGGCGCUUACCACUU
rnacentral:rRNA from 1 species